rnacentral:rRNA from 1 species
GAUGAACGCUGGCGGCGUGCCUAAUACAUGCAAGUCGAGCGAACAGAUGAGGAGCUUGCUCCUCUGACGUUAGCGGCGGACGGGUGAGUAACACGUGGAUAACCUACCUAUAAGACUGGGAUAACUUCGGGAAACCGGAGCUAAUACCGGAUAAUAUAUUGAACCGCAUGGUUCAAUUGUGAAAGACGGUUUUGCUGUCACUUAUAGAUGGAUCCGCGCCGCAUUAGCUAGUUGGUAAGGUAACGGCUUACCAAGGCAACGAUGCGUAGCCGACCUGAGAGGGUGAUCGGCCACACUGGAACUGAGACACGGUCCAGACUCCUACGGGAGGCAGCAGUAGGGAAUCUUCCGCAAUGGGCGAAAGCCUGACGGAGCAACGCCGCGUGAGUGAUGAAGGUCUUCGGAUCGUAAAACUCUGUUAUUAGGGAAGAACAAAUGUGUAAGUAACUAUGCACGUCUUGACGGUACCUAAUCAGAAAGCCACGGCUAACUACGUG